UGGUUCAUUUUAUGUUCAUAAAUAUUCAAUUUUUGUUUCUUUUCAUUAGCCGAAUAAUCUGCAUAGUCUCCCUGUCUCUUCUCCUAUCGGCACGCCUGCUCUCAUGAAUUUCUGCUUCUGUCGACGUCUCCGCUGAUGCUGCCGAUGGUACUAAGCGCAUUGCUCAGGCAGCUUAUGAUGAAGAAUACGAGACCCAGCAACCUUUGAUUGAAUCACCAACACCAGAGGCACCGCAAAGUCCCGUAGAGCAGGUGACUCUGCCUUUAAGGUCCCGUAGUUCAGAUAAACCAUUCGAAGGUGAGCAGCAGACUGCAGGAGAAGUGGAUGUUGAGGCUGAAGAAGAGCAGGUUGUUCGUGAGGAGGAGAAAGUGGUAGAGCUGCGAGGAGACGACACUGAAAAGGUGGUAGAAGAAGAGGUGGGGGUUGUUGUGCAGGGAGUUGACAAAGAAGUGGCUACUGGUGAACAAGAAGCUGUACCUGGAGAGGAUGAGGAAUAUGAAUACGAAGAGAUCGAAGUUGAGGAAGAGGUUCCUGAAGAAGCCAGUCCCCAGGGGGCUGUUAUCACCGGAGAAGAAGAAGAUUUUUGGGCAAACGAUGAAAAUUCUGCAGGUAAUGCCGGAGCUUCAGAAGUGGUUGAAGUUGAGGAGAUUCAAGAGUAAUAAUUGAGGGGUGGACAUUUUGAAGAAAUCAAUCAUUACAGAGACUAUGAACUAGGCAAAUGAGAUGUUGUCUUCAGAGAAGAAUUAUUAUAUCAGUGAAAAUGCCGUUGAACUCAGUCAUUCAAAUUUAUCACAAGAAGCUUGUGCGGUAACAAAACUUGUAAGGCACAACACAAAAUA